rnacentral:tRNA from 1 species
GGUAAAAUGACUGAUUAAGGUGAUAAAUUGUAAAUUUAUUUAUGAUGAAAAUUCUUUUACUA